CGCUCCUCUCCUCCGCAGAUACCGCCGCUGUAAUAUUUUUGCUGAGAAAACAAAAAAGAGAUCGAGAUAGAAAACAAGAGAUCGAGGGAGAAAAAGAUAGAGAGAGUUUGAUUCGAACCACUGAUGGUGGUUGAUUAGGGUUUUGGUUUAUAUCUGGAUCUAUGUUGCAACCAAGAAGAAAAAGGGGAUUUUGCUGUUUUAGAUGGCAGAAUACAACAGAAUCGAAGAUAGGGUGUUUACAAAUUGGAAGAAUAAGCAAUUAUGGGUUCGAUUUGUGGAAUUUUCGUUGCUGCUGCUGGAAAUCAAGUUUGGGUAAGAGGAGAAUAAGUUAGGUUUUUGAUGAAAUUGAAUUCACAGAAUUUGAUGGUUCGAUAUAUGAUGGAUUUUGUUGAUUUGUUGAAGAUGAACUCGAGAAUGAAUUUGUGAUGGGAAAUAGGAAUUAGGGUUCUGAUCUAAGUUGGUGUUACAGCUGGUGGAAAAGGAAAUUGGUAUCGUCUGUUCUCGAGCAGAAAUUAAGAAGAAACUGGUGCUUCUGUUGAAUUGAAAUGGUGGAUUAUUGUAGGUGAUAUUAAUGAUUAAGGAUAUGAAGUGCUGGUGGUGAUUGAAGCAACCUGGUGGUAGUGGUUUUGCUGAGAUGGAGGAAUUUGAGACAAGUCUCGAGUUCUGGUGGCGAUGUUAUUGCAAUGGUGCUGCUACUGGUGAUGUUGGUGGUGCAAAACAAGGGCCAGAGUUUUUGUUGGAGUCAGAAUGCAGCUACAGAUGAAGUUAUUGUCAUGAUAGGUGGUGAAUAGAAUGGACCCAUAAAGGUGCUGAAGGAAUUGCCGAGGUGAUCUGCAAUCGAAUUGCCGAGAAUGAAGCUGUAGUUGAUGAAUACCGAGGCAAGAGUUGCUGCUUGAACUCCCCUUGAGGAAUGUGAUUUUGGAACACCUUCCCUUCUUUUCUGCUUCCUAAUUUUUAUUGACUUUCGAAAAUCUUAGCAUUGGGAACGAUUUGCAUACAAUUGGUGGUUUAGUCCCCCUUCUUGAACAAUUGAAAAACUCAAGUGCAGGCAUCCGAGCUUAGGCUGCUGAGGUUAUAACUACCAUAGUUCAAAACAAUCCUAAGAGUCAGCAACUUGUAAUGGAAGCGAAUGGUCUUGACCUCUGCUGGCUAAUCUCACCUCAGAUCCAGAUGUUACUGCUCGAAACAAUGCUCUUGGUGCAAUAUCGUCUUUGAUUCGGCACAACAAGCCUGGAGUUGCUGCAUUGUGCCGUGGGACUGAAUUGGUGGCUUAAGUGUUAUGAGAUGAUGGAAUGAAUGGAUGAAACUGAGUCUUGAGAUAAGAAUGGGAUUGCAGUUGGUGAUGGAGAUGUCACAUUACAAUGAAUGGCCUGGAACCUAGUUGUAUGUUAGGACAUUUGAGAAGCAAGAUGAAUGAAGUGAAGUGAAAUGGCAAUGGGGAAUGUUGGUAUGAUGGCUGUGAAGAAGGGAAUGUAUGUCUCAUGAAACUGGUGGUGUUGAGCUGUUGAUCUAGCACAUGAAUGGACUGCAGUUAAAGCUCAGAUGGAAGUAACUGAACAUUUGAGGAGAAUGGCUUAGGAUAUUGGUGUUGUGACUGUGAUGCUGCUGCCAUGGCUAGGUUGUCAAGCUGCAGAUGUUGAUGCAAUUAAUGCUUUGUGGAGAAUUUCUGGAAUGGUGGUAGUGCAAUGCAGUGGCAGGAAACUUAACAGUUGGAUAUGCCAGAAUUCUGGCAUAACCAAUAGACAUCUUAAUCUUCAUAUUCUCUUUUGAGUGUGUUUAGGAAAUAUAACUUUGGUAACAAACAUGUGUAUCACUGCCAUUUUUUUAAUGUGUGUGUUUAACACUGGCAGGUUAACUUGAAUGAAUGUAAAUAUGAUAUUAUGAAUGUGAAUGAAUGUAAAUGUGCUACAUUGGCAGGUUAACAUGAAAUUAUGAAUGUGAAAUACUUUCGGCAA